GGGGGCGUAUUGGAAUCGACAGGGAAGAUAAUCGGUAGGUAAGCAUGCCGGAGCAAGAAAGCUCACUCCGUCAACAAAUGGCCUUCAAACCAUUAAAUGGCAACUAUCAGUAUGCCAUGGCUGCCUAAUACAGUGUAUUAGAACGCCAUUGUGCCCUGCGCUUGAUGCCCGAUACACAGCGUACCGCACAUCAUCCAACCCUCGGGAUAGCCAAGUGGAAUGCCCUGGCCACAAGGUGAAAUUUAAGGGAUAAGGCGCAAGCCGGGUGGGUUACCGUACCUACCUUGCGCACGAAAACCUAAUCGGUAAAUAAGCAUGUAGAAGGCCUAUGGGUGCUUUCACUGGACACGGGUUCAACUCCCGUCGCCUCCACCC
rnacentral:tmRNA from 1 species